rnacentral:rRNA from 1 species
UACGAAGGGGGCUAGCGUUGUUCGGAAUUACUGGGCGUAAAGCGCGCGUAGGCGGACUACUAAGUCAGGGGUGAAAUCCCGGGGCUCAACCCCGGAACUGCCUUUGAUACUGAUAGUCUCGAGUCCGGAAGAGGUGAGUGGAAUUCCGAGUGUAGAGGUGAAAUUCGUAGAUAUUCGGAGGAACACCAGUGGCGAAGGCGGCUCACUGGUCCGGUACUGACGCUGAGGUGCGAAAGCGUGGGGAGCAAACAGG